rnacentral:rRNA from 1 species
AUUGAACGCUGGCGGCAGGCCUAACACAUGCAAGUCGAGCGAGCGGCGGACGGGUGAGUAAUGUCUGGGAAACUGCCUGAUGGAGGGGGAUAACUACUGGAAACGGUAGCGAAUACCGCAUAUCAUCUGAGUUGCGCAGAUGGGAUUAGCUAGUGGGUGGGGUAACGGCUCACAUAGGCGACGAUCCCUAGCUGGUCUGAGAGGAUGACAAGCCACACUGGAACUGAGACACGGUCCAGACUCCUACGGGAGGCAGCAGUGGGGAAUAUUGCACAAUGGGCGCAAGCCUGAUGCAGCCAUGCCGCGUGUGUGAAGAAGGUCUUCGGGUUGUAAAGCACUUUAAGUUGGGAGGCGUUACCAACAGAAUAAGCACCGGCUAACUUCGUGCCAGCAGCCGCGGUAAUAC